rnacentral:rRNA from 1 species
GUAAGGAAUAUUGGUCAAUGGGCGCAAGCCUGAACCAGCCAUGCCGCGUGCAGGAUGACGGCCCUAUGGGUUGUAAACUGCUUUUGUACGGGAAAAAACCCUUUUACGUGUAAGAGGUUGAUGGUACCGUAAGAAUAAGGAUCGGCUAACUCCGUGCCAGCAGCCGCGGUAAUACGGAGGAUCCAAGCGUUAUCCGGAUUUAUUGGGUUUAAAGGGUGCGUAGGCGGCUUAUUAAGUCAGUGGUGAAAGCCUGGAGCUUAACUCCAGAACUGCCAUUGAUACUGAUGAGCUUGAGUACAGUUGAGGUGGGCGGAAUGUGUCAUGUAGCGGUGAAAUGCUUAGAUAUGACACAGAACACCAAUUGCGAAGGCAGCUCGCUAAACUGUAACUGACGCUGAGGCACGAAAGCGUGGGUAGCAAACAGGAUUAGAAACCCCAGUAGUCC